rnacentral:lncRNA from 1 species
UUUUCAUAAAGUAACAGCAGAAGAAGUUAAUCUAACAGAAUAAAAAGCACAAUAAACCAGAGCAAAACAAGCAGAAAGUCGAAGGUAAGAAACAGAUCGAGUGACAGUUUAAGUCGGUUGAAUCGAUCCGAUCAGCUGGAGUAACAACAAUGGUGAAGUGAAGUUGAUGCUUUGAAUAACCUAAUUGCGAAUAAUCUAACAGCUACCGUCUGAGAUGACGGAGAAUGGCGGCCGGAGUUAAUAAUAGGAGAGAUGAGGACGGAGAAGCUUACCCUGCGCUACCGCCGCCGCCGUCGCUAACUGAAUUUGCUCCACCGCCGGUGAGUGUGAGUGUGUGUGUGUGUGUGAAAAGUUGCUACUUUUAGACAAAGGGGCUGUUCAAGAUUAGGUUCCUCUUUACACUGUAAAAUGUAAAAUUUAGACAAAAAGUAAACAAAUUAAAAUUACAUAAUUACUGUUAGGUUGAGAUAAAAUCAUAAAACAUUAACGUGUGAUUCCAUGAUGGCAUAGUGAUACUCCAGUAGUCCGUUAGUGAUCCAAAUUUAUCGUUUAAAAAAAAAGUAAAAAGUAUAAAAUAUUACAUUGCGGUGAAAAAAUAAUUUUACUAAAGUAGUAUUUUUCAGAGAACCAACGAGAGGCCGUCAAGCACGUCUCACCGGCUUAAACAGUUGUAGCUCAGUCGUCAUCACUUUUGGCACAAAAUUUUAAUGCAAAACAUAGGUUGGGAUCACGCAAUAGCCUAUCAGGGACAUGUGUCCCUGUGUCGUCUUCAAUCGGGUAGACGACAGAUGUGAUAUCAGCUUAUUUUGUCGUCCACGUAGGAUUUGUUACUAAUCAGCCGCCGUAAUGAAAUCAGCUUUCUUUUUCUUUUGAACUUGGCUUCGUUUACCAACUCAGCCAGCCAUUUUAAUUAAAAUACAUAUUAGUCAGCUUAGCAAAAAAAAAAUUAAUCAACGAUCGGCUGAGCAUGAUAAUUUUAAAAAAAAAAUGAAUAGGCAACAAUUAUUUGUGUUAUAUAAAUAUCCAAUGACCAAUUUCACUCUUAUGUGACAUUAUAGUUCGGUGACUAAUGACCAACUUCAAAGAUUGAUUUUUGAAAGUUAACGACUUAGCCUUCAUUUAUAAACCAAAGGGUUGAGCCAACACAUAUAACUCAAAAGGUAAAUAGUCAUGCAUCCUAUCGAGACAUAUGUGUAGUACCAGUGGCGGAACCAGAAAGAUUUAGUUAGGAGUCAUCAUAAGCUUAUAUUCUAUACUUGUUCAAAUUAGGGGGUUCAUCUCUAAGUUUGUUAUUCAAAAACUCAAAAUUUAUAAAUAAAAAUUCAAAAAGUUCUGGUGACCGGAGGGUCAACGGACCCUCUUGACCCCCCUCUGGUUCCGCCCCUGUGUAGUACGAUUGAGUUGACAAGAGUUUCUUGCCAUUAAGUUGCUAACUCAAUAUGUUAUAUAUGUUCAAAGUACCAUAUUUUUAUAUUUCUAUUGUAUUUUGUAUUAUUUAUUUUAAUUUGGAAGGCCCUAGUUAAGUGGAGGCCUAAAGCAAUUGCUUAGGGUCACUCUCUCUUUAGUCGGCCCUACUAAUUACUAUGCUUGCGAUUGGCAUUUGAGAUUAUGUUUGGAAGUUGGAAGGCAAAACUUAUUUAAAGAAUAAAUUUUAGACCGUAUUUGAUGAUUUGUAUUAGAUAUUGGCAUCUUGCAGUUAGCUAUUGCUUUAUUGAUAUUCGGAAUUUUAGAUUUGCUAUUACAUUUGCUUGGGGAAUUUGCUAUUAA